GAUGAAGAACGCAGCGAAAUGCGAUACGCAAUGUGAAUUGCAGAAUUCAGUGAAUCAUCGAAUCUUUGAACGCAUAUUGCGCUCUCUGGUAUUCCGGAGAGCAUGCUUGUUUGAGUAUCAGUAAACACCUCAACUUCCAUAUCUUUUUUGAAAUGGGAGUUGGACUUGAGUGAUCCCAACGCUUUUCCUCACCGAAAAGUGGCGGGUUACUUGAAAUGCAGGUGCAGCUGGACUUUUCUCUGAGCUAUAAGCAUAUCUAUUUAGUCUGCCUAAAAAACAGAUUAUUACCUUUGCUGCAGCUAACAUAAAGGAGAUUAGUUCUUGUGCUGACUGAUGCAGGAUUCACAAAGACAGGCUUCGGCCGACUUUGUAAACUCGAUCUCAAAUCAAGUAAGACUACCCGCUGAACUUAAGCAUAUCAAUAAGCGGAGGA
rnacentral:misc_RNA from 1 species